rnacentral:rRNA from 1 species
UACGUAGGGGGCAAGCGUUGUCCGGAUUUAUUGGGCGUAAAGAGCGUGUAGGCGGCCAGGUAGGUCUGCUGUGAAAACUCGAGGCUCAACCUCGAGACGUCGGCGGAAACCAUCUGGCUAGAGUCCGGAAGAGGAGAGUGGAAUUCCUGGUGUAGCGGUGAAAUGCGCAGAUAUCAGGAAGAACACCCGCGGCGAAGGCGGCUCUCUGGGACGGUACUGACGCUGAGACGCGAAAGCGUGGGGAGCGAACAGG